rnacentral:rRNA from 1 species
UACAGAGGGUGCAAGCGUUGUUCGGAAUUAUUGGGCGUAAAGCGCGCGCAGGCGGUCCUUUAAGUCUGAUGUGAAAGCCCACGGCUCAACCGUGGAGGGUCAUUGGAAACUGGGGGACUUGAGUACAGAAGAGAAGAGUGGAAUUCCACGUGUAGCGGUGAAAUGCGUAGAGAUGUGGAGGAACACCAGUGGCGAAGGCGACUCUUUGGUCUGUAACUGACGCUGAGGCGCGAAAGCGUGGGGAGCAAACAGG